CUGCGCAACGGCGCGUCGCAUAUGCGCGGGGUCGAUGCGCGCAUGAUGCGCGCGCAUUGAACGAGAGCGUCCUUUUUCGCGCGAUCAGCGACGCAAUAAAUUUCGACACUACGGACGGUUAUCCUGACAGAAAGUAAUUUGUCCAUUAAUUUCGUUUUGUGUUUGUCUUAUUGUGCAAGAAUGUGUUAUCAAGGAAAGGAGGAACAUUAGUGUGAAUAAAUUUAACGUUGGGGUUCGUUCGCUGUGAAAUACGAAGCAUGAUACGAAGCAGCCGGCGUUUAGUCCUUCAAGCUACACGAUGGAAAGUAUACAAAAAGUGGGGAGGCUAUUGAUGCAGUUCACUGCGUGAGAAAGUGAACAUCGAUCGAGAAUGAGAUAUCUAGAUGCUAGGAGCAUGCGUUCAUAAAAAGAGAAGCUGUGGCACGUUGACCAUUCCGAAUCGGAAUUUUCUACACUAUCACAAUCGUAAGAAAACAAAGUCAGUGAAACAAUGAUUGCAUCGACUAGUUUCUUUUCAAAUAUUGGAUCAACACCCACAUUGAAGACAACGUAUAAGCUAUUUCUUUUUUUUUUCUUUUUUUUUUUUGCCUAUGAAGAUUGAUGGUCUACCCUCCUCGAUGCCGGGAUUCUUCUGUGGGAUACAUUUUUUACGGAUUUUUUCUUGUUUCUGGAUAAUCAUCCCAAUUUUCAAUGGUAUGUUAGAAUAAGGCAUAAAUUAUAAAAUCGGCGUGGAAUCCGAACGCGGAGGAGGAGGAGAGCAGCCAGCCGGGCCAUGUGGACGGAUGCCGUCCACAGCAUAUCCCACGUCUUCAUCGUCUAAGCGUAGUGGCCGGAAUAUGGGUCACACGGCGAUCGUGAGUCGAGCAACAACCAGUUUCCAAAAUCAUGGGGGGGUUCCGGUGCCCGGCCACGCCAGGUGCAGCAGUCUCGACGAAUCGGGAAACGGACUCCAUUAAGCUUCCGUAAAACCGUGGUGGACAGGCAACCGCUUUUGAGAUUGCACGGUCGAGUUGCAGCGAGGGGAAACCGCUCUUAAAGCCACAGAAGAAGGGAAAAAAGGAGGAGAGUUUCAGUUGGAAGGAAGGAGCAUGGGAACUGGACCUUUUCGAAACGCUUUACCUCAGAUGACGAGUCGAAAUUUGACGCAAAUGAGUUUUUGAAGCAAAAGUUGCAAACCUUCAACCUUCGAUCAAAUGAGCUUCGCAAUUUUUUCCAAUCUCUAAAAGGGAUUAGCCAGACUCUUAUCACUAACCGAUAUUCUCGAAUAUUAUAUGAUAAGAAGGAUCCAAAUUCUUCCUCUCCUCUUACACGACGAUUAUUAUUUACACGAUCUCCGUGGAAUCUGAUGGAACUCGUCUUGAAACUCUCGAAUGCACAUGUCGUUUCGAGCGUGAAGCUCGUACCAAUAAAACCCGCGUAUCCUCGUCACCCUCCUCUCCGUCCAAGAUGGUUGGCGGCGAUAAUCCUGUCCCGCGGAGAGUCUCGAUGCCCGAGGUCGGUCCAUAAAUCGAGCGACACGCGCGUUGCGAAACGCGGCUCGAGAGCCGUAAUGAAUGUUGCGGCGGCGGCGUCGACCUACUGCGUAAUUGAUAGAGGAGAAUCCUCGAGAAUCGGCGAGUUGUAGGGGGAGGGAAGGGAGGAGGGUGGUGAACAGAAUGGAUGGGACGAUUUGAAGGAGUGUGGCGAGAAGGGGAUGCAAGUUGGCUUGGCUUUCGAAUUAUGCGAAUUGGAGAAAUUGAAGGGGAUAGAUUGGAUGGAGAACUGAGAGAAAUUGAGACGAGUAGAAGAAUGAAUGUGCUGUUGGCGAUUGAUUGGAAAUUGAUAAAAUCGCAUCGCCUUUUGUGAUAUAUCACAAUCGCCGCUAGAUGUCACACGCGUCGCCGAUAUUGUAUCGUGGUUUUAAAAUUAAUUGUAUUA
rnacentral:lncRNA from 1 species